AUGAACAGAUGAUACCUUUCACGGGAAGGUCCUCUCUGCGACAGUUCGUCAAAGGGAAACCACGGCCAGUGGGACUCAAAAAUUUUGUUGCGACCAUUUCCAAAGGCCUGGUGAUGGACUAUGAGAUAUAUCGAGGGAAAUCAACCCCUCUUGCUGACACAGCACUUGGCCUUGGUCCUAAUGUUGUUUGGAGACUUGUGCAAACUCUGCCCGAGAGGUCCCUCAUCUCCUUUGACAGGUACUUCACAACGAUCCCUCUCUUGGAUGAGCUUCUAAAGAGGGGCAUCGAAGGAACAGGAACAAUAAUGGCAAAUCAAAUUAAGAACAUUCGGUUUCGAAGUGACAACACCAUGAAGCAGAGAGAAUACGCGGGGUACACCCGUGACGAUGGAAAUGUGGUUGUAGUCAAGUGGAAGGACAGCAGAGCCAUGACCCUUGCAUCAACUUCUACUGGAGCCAGUCCUGUUGAACCUGUAAAGCGCUGGUCAAAACAGGAAAAAAAGUACAUCGAUGUACCAGCACCGGCAAUUGUCCGAAGGUACAAUGCGUGCAUGGGGGGCGUCGACAUUUGUGAUCAGCUGUUGGAAUAUUACAGGAUCGCUAUCAAGACAAGGAAAUGGACUUUAAAGGUCAGCCUACACAUGAUCGACCUCUCUCUUGCCAACUGUUGGAUGGAAUACAGUGACGCCUGCAGGGCAAAUGCUGUGCCACAGCGAGACACUAUGGACCUUCUCGACUUCCGCCUGGCAGUCGCUGAAGCUCUCUGCUCAAAACCCAAAAGAAAAAGAAGUGAAGCCGCGGAAGAGGUCGAUGACUCAAAUGGCCAGAUUCAGCAGCCUUACAAGGUGGCAAAGCUCCCCGGUGAAGAUAAGCGGCUAGAUUCCUUUGACCACUGGCCCACCGUGGAUGCCCUGAAGACCCCCCGAAUAUGCAGGUUGUCGGGAUGCAACUCACGGUCAAGGACGCAUUGCGAAAAAUGCAAUGUUUACCUUUGCCUGACAAGCGAUAGGAACUGCUUCAAGUUAUUUCAUACUUCCCUGUGAGGCAAAUGUGUCUCUGAGGCAAUGUUUUCCUUGGCAUAUAUUUGUUUACAGUUCGUGAGAUUCAUAGCAAUUGAAGCCCGACCCACACAUUUCUGUGGGUCCGUUUUGAAAAUGAAAGUAAAUUUUCUUUUUUAUCUUUCAGAUAUAUUAUAAGAGGCGUUCAGUGGUCUGAAAAUCCACAAAAGAUUUCAUAUUUGUGGUCAACGUUUUUACCGGGCAGGGAAGGGUUAUAGCAGAUCCAUGUGGGGCAAGCUGUGUAUAUCAACCAGGAAUCCUGGGGCAACAUGCGGAAAGCGGAGUGCGACUCCAUGUUUUGCAAAAUCAAGGCUUCUUCCAUAUGGCUACUUGAAGUGCUUUUGGAGAGGUCGGUGACCAACACCCUCUCCAACCAGGCAAAGAUGGCGGGGCAAGAAAAGGCGUUUGCACCACUCACUCCACAAAAGGUGCUGGCCCUCUCGGGUUCUCCUCGUUGAUCCGCACUCUUUCUUUCCUGUUAAUAUGACCCUGAGCUUCGAGAAUGGCCUCUCAACGCUAACACUGGACACUGGCAGGCUGAGGAGAUGAAGCGCUGCCCGAGUCAAAAUCGGCCAAUCAACAUAUUGUGACUGCCGAAAGAGGCACGGUGCGACGUUUUGAAGCACAACACAACAUGCAGAGCUCGCAUCAAGUUAGUCUUCCUUACAAUGAUUUUGAAAACACGUUCGUACAUGGCGAAGUCAUGGGGCGUUCCUCACUUCACAUUCCAAUCGAUGAUGCGCACAUUACACCAUAACGUCGUGAUGGCAUCUAUGUAUCUCAUACAUUCGGACACGUUUCAAUAGACACUGUCGUUCCACUUUUUCGCCACGGCUCUGCGGUACGACUGGAAGGUAAAAGUGAGCGCUUCCGGUUAAAACUGAAUUUUAGAAGAUGGAUUUGUUGUACUUUUAUCAGUUUUUAUCGGUUUAAAUCGAAAAUGCCGAACCUAAAAACUACCCUUUUUUAGUUAAUACCGAAUCUCCGAACAUGAAUUCGGCGUACUUUUACUGGUUUUUAUCGGUUUAAACCGAAAACUCCAAACCCUACGUAUAAGAAGCCUGAUUACCUUGAUCUCUCUCAUUGUCGACAUUCUUUGUUUUGUGCCGAUUGUCAGUGUGUGUUCACUUCUCUCCGGUCGUGUCUGUUCGACCGACGCCUUUUCAUUAUGCACGGCCCUUUUUUUAAAAGCAUGUUUUGAAUUUUGUUUUAUUGUAAUCUGGUUUUAAUCAUUGUGUUGUAUGGGUCAAGUGCAUUUUUUUAUAUUUCAUGUUUAAGGGUGUGCCAGUACCACGGUCGAAUGGCUGUUACUGGGCACCAAAUAAAACUGAUUGUUGAUUCUUGAUUGAUCAUUAUUAUUAUUAUUUUUGCUAAGGAGAGCCAGAAUUUCUUGCCAGAGGUUAAAGUUUUUUUCUUGCCAGAGGUUAAAGUUUUUUGUUGCCAUUAAACAAAAACUAAAUCCAGAUUUGAUAUUGCCCUCUGCCAUGCAUAAAACUAGACACCGUCAAUAAAUUGUCUUCAGUGUUUGUUUUCAGCGAAUGCCGUCCUUCAUGGUCCACUACAGGUCUCAAAUCUCUCUGGACAAUGUAUCAUUUCGAGUUGUCAAGGAAACAGUCAAAGUCUGCAUGUUCGGAAUGUAAUACUACAAAAAGACUUGGGAGAAAUAAAAAAAACAGGUAUGUUACAUGGUAAUGCACUUGCAAACGUUUCAAUCUCAUGCACCGAUCCAGCAGCCUCCCAAAGAUUGUGUGCAGUGAGUGUAAAGAGGAUACUUUGUGACAACUGUUUUUAUACUUAUUUUUCCUUAUGUAAUGCCCCUUAGGGUAUUCCCAAUAAAUGAAUGGAUUUAGGAAAAGCCCAAGAGCAUUAUGCAGAUGAUAUCAGCUUUUCCUUUUGCCAGUAACUGCACAGUGCAGACAACUUUGUUGUGAUAUAAGAUGGGGGCACAUUAGACUCGGUUGAUGUGUGCUAAUUUUAAGUAAUAAUUCCUACUUUCUAGGUGGACGUGCCCCAAACAUACGGCCAAUAAAAAAGGGUCAGCUGAAAACAGACAAGGCCAAGCAGCUGCAGGAGGCACUUGAUGCAGAGCAGCAGACUGGUCAAAGAGAGAAGAGAAGAGCGUACAAUAGAAUUGCCAACUGCAAUUCCCAUCGUAACCAUGGUUUCGAGGACAUAAAGCUUUUAGCCUAAACACGGAGAGGGACAUUACUGAGAGAAAACAAAUGUUGGCAAGGGAAGGACUUACAUCUGUAUCAGAUGUAAAAACAGCCAGCACUAUUAUGUGCAUGACAUACUUUUUUUAAGCAAGUGAAAACCUGAUGGCAGCUGCAGGGCCUUUUACCAGACACAUUGUGAUAUCAUUAACAAGAUCCAAGCUGUUUUUAAGAAAGACUGCUUCAGCACGGUUGAUCAAGAGAAUAGUAGCAUUCUAAUUGAAAAGAUCAGGAGCCCCAAUGCUUCAUUGUCUAUUGGCUGUAUGCGGCAUGCAGCUGCGUGGGUAGCAGCGACUCGGACGGCGUGGAAGACAGUGCUGCCAGUGAGUGUGAGGACACGUUGCUCUUCUACUUCCAGACAAAAUUCAUGAGAAACAUGUUGAGAAACUAUAGAGGCUCAGUAGGUUGUGUACACAAAGCUGGUGAACAUGCCCUACCACCUUCCUUGCUUGCUGUGAAAAUGCCAUCAGGAUACACACAAGCUGGUAUGUUUAUUGUGCAGUUCGAUACAGCCCACUGUAUCACCGAGGCUUUAGACGUUUUCAAGCAGUGGUGUAAUAACUGGUCACCACAGCACUGGAUGGAAGAUUACAGCAAAACAAAAAUAGCUGCCUUCCAGCAAGUGCUUCCAGAGAGUAAAAUCUCCAUCUGCGACUUCCAUAAAAAACAGGCAUGGCAAAGGUGGCUGGGCAGACAGGAAAACAGCAUGUCCGAUCUGGAUGAGGCUCCGAACCUUAUAAAACACUUAGCGAGUGCUUCAAAUCCCAAUGACUUCUACAAGGCGUUCAAAGUCCUUGUUGCCUAAGAGUGUUGAGAAAAUGAAAACUUCCGCAUUUACUUUGAAGUAGCGUGGCCCUCUGUAAAAGAGCUGUGGGCCAUGUCUUACAGGCUGUUAUUGGAUGCUGUCUUGACCACAAAUGAUAGCACAGAGCAGGGGUGGCCAAACCGCGGCUCGCGAACCGCAUGCGGCUCUUUGCUGGUCUAAGUGCGGCUUGCGGAUCCCUCGUAAGGGGACACCCCCCCCCCCCCCCCCUUCGCCCCUUUCCGCGUU